GCAUUGGGUCGGCCUGGUAUUCUGUCGGUGUUGGCGCUUCUUCUCCCAAGCUCUUGCAGCCCCCUCGGGACUAGGUUUCCAACGGCGCUUGCGGGGGGCCUCGCGGAGGUGGAUGUGGAAAAGGCGAGCGCGGGGGAACUGUGCUGUAACCAUCGCCCCGCCUCCACAGAAAGCCCCGAAGCGCCGGCUCGGGGCCGAACGCGGGCAUCCGGCGUUCGUCUGUUAGGCAGGCAGACAUUAAGCGCCUACUGUGUGCUGGGCCCUACUCAAGACCCAGGCGGGGAGAACGGCGUCUGUCCGGGAGCUGCACACGAGGACCCGGUGGUCCCUGACCUGCCCUCUCCAGGGGGGACCUGCACUUUCUGCCACCAAAGAGGAUUCUCUGUAGGGAGGCCAGGAUGAUUCUCCAGAAUUUACCAUGCCUUGAGAUGAAAUUUCCUUUCAAACUUCCUUGUGUCCUUUUGUCCUCAUUCCAUGUUCACCAGUCUUCUGACUGUUUCAUUUUCCAGAAAGGAGAAACUGAAUAACAUGUAUAUUUUAACCUUGCCUGCAAUUGUAAAUCAAUAAAUUGGUGUAUUUACAUCAGAUCCCUGUGAGUUUGGUGCACAUAAGACAGUCAUGAAGACUUGGUCACUGUUGGUAGAGUUGGCCAAUAAAAUAUUGAACACAGUUAAAUUUGAAUUCAUGCAAUAUUUGGGGCAUAUUUAUACUAAAUAUGUGUUAUCUGAGAUUCAUAUUUAGCUAGGUGAUUUUUUAAUUUGCUAAAUAUGGCACUCCCACCUCCGGGUAUUGAGAUUGAGUUUCUGAAUUUGGAAAGCUGAUUCCAAACCACCUGGAACCUUAGUGAGCCCACCAUGCAAUCCAGUGACCCUCUAGUUUGUCUGCUGUAUUUUUCCUCCUUACUGAAGCAAGAGUGAUCUUUCCAGAAUGAGAUCGCAGUCUGUCCCUGCCUCCAGUGACUCCCCAGCAUCCCUGGCCCACCACCUGGCUAACUACUCCUCUCCUUUAGGUUGUUGCCUUAGACUUCAAUUUGCCUGGUAAAUCCUCCCUGACCCCAAAACACUAGUUUGGUGCCAUCCUCGCUGCCCGGGGCCCCAAACCCACUGCAUCAUGGAGCCGGAAGCACUAUUAUUUUUUUUCUUUUUUACUUCUCCACUUGAGUGGCAACUUUCUGAAGACAGGGACCAUGUCUGUCUUAUUCACCACUGUCUUCCCACUGUCACCACUGCUUUGCAUGGGGCUGAGCACCGAGCAGGUGCUCAGGAAGUAUUUAUUGAACAACUGAAUGAGGCCACUUGUCUUAUUUGAGCCUUCAAUCGAGCCCCGGGUCAGGGCAUGGUCAUAGGGACACUAAAUCAAGGCUUGUCAGACAAGGAGUGUCCCUUAGUGCACAGGAAGUGAGGAGGGGCUGAGUGUGAGGGGAAGACAAGGGACCAACCCCAGGGCAUCAGACCAAGCUUUUUGAGAUUAGACUUGGUCCUGCCUGAGAUCCAAAGCGGGAGGUCAGAGGCAGGAGCAGUAAGGCAAGGCUGGGAGCAGAGACAGGCCAAGAAAGAUCAGGAACCCAGUUAAAAAGUAGCUUUGGCUGGGAGCGGUGGCUCAUGCCUGUAAUCCCAGCACUUUGGGAGGCUAAGGCGGGUGGAUCACUUGAGGUCAGGAGUUCGAGACCAGCCUGGCCAACAUAGUGAAACCCCAUCUCUACUAAAAAUACAAAAAUUAGCCACAUGUGGUAGCACAUGCCUGUAAUCUCAGCUACUCGGGAGGCUGAGGCAGGAGUCUCGCUUGAUCCCAGGAGGCAGAGGUUGCAGUGUGCAGAGAUCAUGCCACUGCACUCCAGCCUGAGUGACAGAGUGAGACUCCAUCUCAAAAAAAAAAAAAAAAAAAAAAAAAGAAGUAGCUUUAACGUUCUCCAAAACCUUGCAGCAUUCAGAGCAGGCAGCUGUGACAAUAUUUGUGCACUGAGGGGACACUUUCUCUGCCUGGAUUCAGGGCAUAUGCUAUGGUUUGAAAAUGUCCCCCAAAUUUCAUGUGUUGGAAACUUAAUUUGUCUGCCCUCAUGAAUAAAUUAAUGUUGGCUCUGCCCUCAUGCAUGGAUUAAUGUCGCUGUUGUGGGAGUGAGUUGCUUAUCUCUUUGUUAUAGAGGCAAGCUCUCUCCGGCUCUCUCUCUCCUGCCCUCUUGCAUAUGUGCCCUCCACCAUGUUAUGGCACAGCAAGAAUGCAAAGACCCUUAGCAGAUGCUGCCACCGUGUCCUUGAACUUCUCAGCUUCCAGAACUACAAGAAACAAAUGUUUUUCCUGUAGGAAUUACCCAGUCUGGGAUAUUCUGUUAUAACAGCAGAAAACAGACUAACGCAGCAUGCUUCUCGCAUCUUGCCCUGCUGUGGGGUGGCAGAUUUCAUCCCACUGGACAGAAGGGCACUACAGCUCUAGCCACCUCCUAUGGGCGGAUUGGGCACACUGGGGGUGGGGGGCAGCCUCUAUGUGCCACUUCCACACGGGAGAGAUUCGGAGCUCCUGAAGGACGCUUGGGUGCUGCAACCAGCGUUUGUUGCUCAGGGAAAGGGUGGAUGUAGGGACCAGCCCUACAGGGUCUGUGGGUUUUUCUCCCCUUGUGCGGAGACGAGAGAUCGUAGAAAUAAAGACACAAGACAGAGAGAUAAAAGAAAAGACAGCUGGGCCUGGGGGACCACUACCACUGAGACGUGGAGACUGGUAGUGGCCCCGAAUGCCAGCCUGUGCUGUUAUUUAUUGGAUACAAGACAAGCGGGCAGGGUAAGGAGUGUGAGCCACCUCCAAUGAUAGGUAAGGUAACGUGGGUCACGUGUCCACUGGACAGGGGGCCCUUCCCUAUUUGGCAGCCAAGGUGGAGAGAAAGAGAGGGAG
rnacentral:lncRNA from 1 species